GUCGACCUGGUGAUUUACAAGCAGACAAUCCCCUCGCCUUUUACUAGGGGAUUCCGUGUAUGCCAUCAACAGAAAGUCGACUUUCCAAUCUUUGGGAUAUCAGAGUCACUUCGUGU
rnacentral:snRNA from 1 species